AUAGGAUUUGCCUGAUGUAGAUGCCUUUCCCUUAGCUGUACUUCAGGUUCCUUUUAAAAUCAUUGGAGGGAAAGAGGCAACUUUAGGAUGUGAUUCUUUCCCUCUGUUUCACAUGCCUUCUUCAUGGUGAAAUGAAUGGUAGAAAUAUUUUUUCCUACAGUAGGAAACCGGUUAGAGUGUAGACAGGUAUUAUUUAGUGAUCAAAAAUUGUAGUCACCCAGUGUCCUUCAAUGCCACUUAAACACUUCAGUUGAAAAACAAAACAAACUUGAUUAAACAACUGCUGCUGACUAACUGUUUAGUUAUUACUGUACAGUUAAAGAUGUCAUUAUCUCUUAGCUGCAAAUGCAGAUCUUGGAUGCAGAAAUAUUAAGGCAAAAAAUUGCUGUUUUCAGGUGUUAAUAUCUGAAUUAAUGAAGAUGUUAUCAUAGAAUCAUAGAAUGGGUUGGGUUGGAAGGGAUCUGUAAGAUGAUCUAGCCUAGCCCCCUGCUAUAGGCACCUCCAUCUAGAUCAGGCUGCUCACAGCCAUCCAGCCUGGCCUUGAAUGCUUCCAGGGAGAGGGAAUCCACAACCUUGCUGGGCAACCUGUUCCAGUGUCUCACCACUCUCACAGGAAAUAAUUUCUUCCUGAUAUCUAGUCUGAAUAUACCCUCUUCCAGUUUAAAACCAUUUCCCCUCAUCUUAUUGCUACAUGCCCUUGUAAAAAGUCCCUCCUCAGCUUUUCUGUAGGCCCCUUCAGGUACUGGAAGGCUGCUAUAAAGUUCCCCCCCAGAGCCUUCUCUUCUCCAGAAUGAAGAGCUCCAGCUCUCUCAGCCUGUCCUCAUGGGGGAGGUGUUCCAGCCCUCUGAUCAUUUUUGUGGCCUUCCUCUGGACCUGCUCCAACAUCUCCAUGUUCUUGUGUUGAGGGCCCCAGAGUACUGGGCACAGUACUCCAGGUAGGGUGUCACAGGAGCAGGGGGGAAGAAUCACUAUCCUUGACCUUCUGGUCAAGCUUCUCUUGAUGCAACCCAGGAUACAGUUGACCUUCUAGGCUGCAAGUGCACUGUGCCAGCUCAUAUUGAAUUUUUCAUCAACUGACACCCCCAAAUCCUUCCCCUCAGGGCUGCUCUCAAGCCAUUCUCUGCCCAACAUCUAUCUGUGCUUGGGAUUGCCCUGACCCAGUUGCAGGACCUUGCACUUGACUUUGAUGAACUUCAUGAGGUUGGCAUGGGCCCACCUCUGCAGCCUGUCCAGGUCCUUCCAUCCCUUGGAGGUGUUCAAGAAAUGUUUAGAUGUUGUACUGAGGGACAUGGUUUAGUGGGAAAUAUUGGUUAUAGGUGGAUGGCUGGACUGGAUGAUCUUACAGGUCUUUACCAACCUUGGUGAUUCUGAUUCUCCCUGGAUAGUAUUCCUUCCCUCUAGCAUGUCAUCUGCACCACUCAGCUUGGUGUUGUCUGCAAACUUGCUGAGCGUGAGUCUGGUCCCACUGUCCAUGUCACCUACAAGGAUGUUAAAUAACAUCAAUCCCAGCACAUUGGACACUGAGCUGUUAACUGCAACUUUCUGAGUGUAACCAUCCAGCCAAUUCCUUAUGCAGUGAGUGAUCCAUCCAUCACAUUGAUUUUUCUCUAAUUUGGUGACCAGGAUGAUGUGUCAGACAGUGUCAAAUGCUUUGCACAAAUCUAGGUAGAUGACAUCAGUUGUUCUUCCUUUAUCCACUGACACUAUGACUCCAUCAUAAGAGGCCACUACAUUUGUCAGGCAUGACUUGCCCUUGGUGAAGCCAUGCUGGUUAUCAUCAAUCACCUCAUCUUUAUUUUCCAUGUGCCUUAGUAGGGCCUUCAGGAGGAUCUGCUCUGUGAUCUUGCCAGGUGCAGAGGUGAUACUGACUGACCUGUAGUUCCUUGGAUCUUUUUUUUUUCCCUUCUUGAAAAUGGGGGUUACGUUUCCCCUUUUCCGAUCAGUGUGAACUUCACCAGACUGCCACAACCUUUUAAAUAUGAUAAAUAGUGGCUUGGCAACUUCAUCUGCCAGUUCCCUCUGAACCUGUGGAUGGAUCUCAUCAGUUCCCAUGGACUUGUGCACCUUCAGGUUCUUUAGACGGUCUUGAACCUGAUCUUCACUUAGAGUGAGCAGCUUCUUACCAUUGCUUUCUGCAGCUUGGGCAGCAUGAAUAGAGCCUUUGCCAGCGAAGACUGAAGCAAAGAAGCCAUUGAGCACCUUGGCUUUCUCCAUAUCCCUUGUGACCAGGUAUUCAGUUUCCUCCCAGAGAGGGACCCACAUCUUCCCUGACCUUUAAUCACUAAUUAAACCUGUAAUAUUUCUUCUUGUUCCCCUUUAUGUACCUGGCUAGAUUUCAUUCUAUCUAGGUUUUAGCUUUCCUAACAUGAUCCCUAGCUGCUCAGACGACUGUUCUGUAGUCCUCCCAAGUAACCUGCUCCUGCUUCCACUCCCCUGUAGUCCUCCCAGGCAACCUGCUCCUGCUUCCACUCCCUAUAUACUUUAUUUUUCUACUUAAGGAAGUCCAGGAACUCCUAGUUGAUUCAUGAAGGCCUCCUGGCACUCUUGCCUGCCUGCCUGCCUUUUUCUCAGGGUGCAAUGCUUCUGGGCUUGGAGGAGAUGGUCCUUGAAUACUGACCAGCUUUCUUAGGUCCCUCUUCCCUCCAGGGCUUUAUCCCAUGUCACCCUGCCAAGUAGUUCCCUGAAGAGUUCGAAGUCUGUGCUUCUGAAGUCCAGAGUAGCAAGCUUGCUGCACACCCUCUUUGAUGCCGUAAGGAUCUUGAACAACACUGUUUCGUGGUCACUGCAGCCAAAGCUGCCCUUGAGCUUUGCAUUACUCACCAGUCCCUCCUCAUUAGUGAGAACAAGGUCCAGCAUAGCAUUUUUCUCAUGGGUUCAUGUACCACUUGGAAGAGAAAGUUAUCAUCAAUGCAUUCCGGGAACAUCUUCAAUUUCUGGUGCUCUGCUGUGUUGUCCCUCCAACAAGUAUUGGGAUGGCUGAAAUCCCCCAUGAGGACCAUGUUUUGUGAACAUGAAGCUGCUUCUAUCUGUAGAGGGCCUCAUCUGCUUGGUUUUCCAGACCAGGUGGUUGGCCUGUAGCAGACUCCCACUACAGUGUCUCCUUCCCCUGCGUCUUUUAACCCUAACCCAUAAGCUCUCUGUCAGCUCCUCAUCUAUCCCCAGGUGGAGGGUAGACACUAUGCCUCCAAUAGAGCUAUAAAUAUUAAGGAGGUUCUGAAAGAACUGGUUUUCUGUUUUCAAGUCCAUUCUAAACAUGCUACUCAUAGGUAUCACUGGUAAUAUGAGUAUAGUAAAUAUGCUGCUUACAAAACUAGUCAUGUUUUAAAUUUUUCUUGAAAUACUAUCUGCUAGUGCUGGAAAUAGAUUGCUUGCAUAAACAGAUUAAUUAGAAUUUCAGUCUUCCCAACUGGUGUUGGGCGGUGAUCCUCCAAUCAACUUUGUAAACCUGAUGCCCACAUGUUGCGUUGCUUACUGCCCUGCCUACUGCCAAGCAGCAGGGUGGUAUUACUGUGCCUAACUGGAUGUCAGUCAGUAUCUGCCUACCUAGAAGAGCUCCUCUCAGAGCUAAUUUGCUAGCCUGGUGGGUGAUAAAGAUUAAAGCCUCCCUGAUCACCUCAGGGGAGUUUCACUAGGAGCUGAUCCAGAAGUUUUUAAGUUCUGGGCCACGUAUCUGGAUUCCUCUGUAAGGAGGUAGCACAGAUUUCAGGAUUUACAGCAACACACGAUUAAUUUCAAUGCUGUAAGUCGGAUGUGGGCAACCAUUAUAGCUUGUUUAGAUCUGCAGCAUUUGGCAGUCAAACUUUGUCAAACUUGGCAAACAACACUUCGUAAAGUAAAUUCCUAUUGUAAGCAUGUUCACUUGAGUACCUCUGAAAGGCCAGUAUUUCUGGCUAAUUUUUUUGGUUCGUAUUGCAGGUGCAUGAAGAGGCAUGUGCUAUUUUUCUAUAAGGACUCAGUUAACUGGAGUCAUGAGUUGCUUCAUGAUACAGCUGUUUUUCAGCUGGUGGCAUCUUUAAGGUCAGAUGUUCCCAGCAAGCCUGGCAUCAGCCUGGCCUCUUGCAUCCAUUAUUGUGCCCCAUAUACUAGAGUUCAGAAGACUUCUCAAACAUAGAAUCACAGAAUCAUUAAGGCUGGAAAACAUCACCAAGUUUGUCUGCUAAUGGGAUGAGAACUGUGUAGCUUUGUUUACCAAUGAGGCUCUUAAUUUAUGCCUGUGAUGGCAUUCCUUCCAUGCUGUUUUUACUAAAUCUCUCUGGAUCUCACAGUUGAAUAAACUGUUUUAUUCCAAGCCUGCACAAGAGGAAGCAGUCUGAACACUGCAAAAAUACUUUUUCUGUUGAUUUGAUAGCAUUCCAAGUAUCGUUGGUUUUAUGCUGUUGUUGAAUUUACAGUUUGUGCAGCAUGGCCUAACAUGGUUUGUCUUCUGUUGUUUAUUACUGUGUUUCUUUGAUACUGGUAUUGGGUAGUUGACCCUAUCACCACAUCUGAGGUAAGGGACAAGGCCUCAUUCAUUCAACUCAAAACAGAAGGAAGUUUACCUACAAGAUUUGUGCAUUAUUGAGGCGCUUUCUGUCAAAUACCUAUUAACGAGAUCUGCUCCAGCUUCUGUAAUUUGCUAGCCUGCUCUGUAUUUGAUAUGGAGCUGGAGUGGCAAGAGUAUAUUUGAGUGUAGGCAAAACAUGAAGGCAUUUUCCAUUCCUGUUGGUGAGUUAAUAUCGCUAGGUGUUUUUCAUGAGCAUGGUUUCUGUGUUCUUGGGCAUGCCCACAGUAUGGGGGCUGUAGUUAGGGAGAUGUCCACCUGUAAUGGAACUGGUUUUCGUUGAGGAGCCCUCUCCUUGUUCUCCUCUUCUGCAGAGGAACAGCUGCUCGGUGGCUAGGGGAGCUGAGGAAAACUUGUGUGUGUGUUUCCUUUCAGCUGGCAUCACUGUAAGACAGGUUAUGAAAAGGGACGUACUGUAAAUACAUAUACAGUGUCAUUCUACAACGAUUUAAUGAUGGAAACUUGUAUGCAAGCUUUUAUUUUUAAAAGUAAUUUACUGCUCCUAUCUCUUCUGUUACACCAGAAUAGCUGUCAUUUCACCUGGUGCUCCUGAGAUCAGCAGUGCUAAUGCUCUAUUGUAAUAUUGUCCUGAGUAUCCAUGGUGAUGACGAAAUUUAACCUCUGUCUGUAGCCAGUGCUGCCCUGGAGGAGUUUGUGACAUCCUUUAAGUUGCACUGGUGUCAUACUGUGGCUUUGGUAGAACAGCUUUCUGAUGUCAGGAAACCAGGCUCCUCCAAGUUCAUGGACAUUCCAGCAGCAAAACUCGGAGUUCUAUGAGCUCUGAGAUGGUGGUGGUGAGGAAAAUAAGUGUAGAGGUCUAAGAGGGAAAAUAAAUGUAUGCUAGGUAGUUGCAAUGACCCAUGCACUCAAAAAUUCAGUUUCUUCCUUCCUCUUUAAAAAGAACAGCAGAAUCAUUCUCUUAAAGAACUGAAAAUAAUUACAAAUUGUGGUAAUACUAAUGAUAGGUGUAAUACAGAAGAAACCCACUAUUUCAUAUCACUUGAUAGGAAACCUAACUUGCCAUUUUAAUAUUUCACUACUUAGUUAUACCACCUCAUUGUACUAUAAUGCUUUCUGAUUUGUUUGGCCAUUAGAUAAAUAAUGUGACUUCAUUUAAAUUACCAAAAUGUGAAGAAGUGUUAAACCGUGUUCUCCACUCUGAAGAGUAAUGGAAGAAGGCUGCUGUAUUAUCUCUGGAUUAAAUACAUUAUUUCAGCACUAUAAAGAUAAACCUUGUGUCUUGGACAGUAGUUACCAAGUAGGCAUUCUUUAACACCUGGAACAUCUGGAUCAUGUUGACUUUUUUUACCAUGGCAAAAAGGGUGAAUGAAAUACAAUUCCUGCUUUCUGAGUUCAUAAGCAUUUCUUCAGUCUCAUGGCAGCUGGAGAUCCCAAUCCAUAAGUAUAUAUAUACGUAUGUUACAGAUAUUAUGUGUUUUUUAAAAAGAAUUGACAGAGCUUACUCUAAAGUGACUUCUGUGUCAAAUUGAGUAGAUGAACGAAUUAUUUUCAUGUUCAGACUUCUUUGUUAGUGAUUAUUUUAAGCAAAAUAGAAAAUGUUGAUGUUCUAAUGGGAUAUAUUUGUAUCAGAAUAAAUAAAUAAUUGGCAAUUACUUAUAAAUAGCUUAAGCUGUUUUAUUUUCAUCUUUUGUGGUUAUCUGUAUUCAUAACUUUUUCUUUGAUCUGUAUAUGUUUGCUUUUCCUAAGUGGUUUUAAUGUUUUAUUAUAAUAUUCUUAAUAUGAUAUAAGCUUCAAUGAUACAAUGAUCAAUAAACUGUAGUAGGCUGGUUCUGGGACAGAAAAAAAAGCUAUGCUAAAUUUUAGUCUGAAUUUUAGGCCACUUGUUAUGUUUUAAAAGAAAGAACUUGCAUUAAAAAUAGUUUGACUGAUUUAUGUGGUGGAUUAGACUGGAUUUAGUUGCUUUGAAAUCUAGUAAUCAGAUAAAGUUCUGCACAAAGCAGCUGCAGCUCUUUGCACUGGUGCUUGUGGUAUUGGACCAGCUUGAGGUCAGUGAUCAAGAUGAAGGUACAUUUCAAAGGAUUUCCCUUGGGAAUGAACGCCAAGCACUGCUGAUGGAUCAAAAGCGCUGGUCUGUGGCAAUGAAAAGAGCAGAGGCUCUUACUGUCAUGGAAGUACAGACUGUUUGCAAUAGCACUUGGCAUCUCUCAUAAAGUGCAUGGCUAUCAGGGCAAGUAAAAGCAUGACAGCCACUCUUACUUCUUUCAAAAGCCUGUGUUACAUGCUUAAUCUUCUGGGCAGAAUUAUUUAACCAGCUGUGGCGCUUCUCUUUCAUGUCUGGAUGGGGAAGCCUGAGCACUGAUGUAGGCUUUCUGAGUGUGAAACAGGUCCAUUUACCCUGACAGUGGAACUGAUUCAGCUUUGCUGAAGUGAAUGUCUUCAUCAGUGGGGCUGUUGCUGGCAUUGCUGCUGGGUGCGGUGGAUAUAGGCAGAGGGAGAGGGUGAAGUCUUCUACAGUGGUGAAAGUAGGGCUUUUGCUGCUGCUCCGGAGCAAAGAGGGGAGUUUUCCUACCCAGUUCCUAUAUCUGUCCCAGACAGCAGCCAUGUCUAUUGGCUGGACUUUGUAUUAUUCAUAUUCACCUCUGCUGAGAUACAGUUUCUUUGUGAUAAAAUCAUGUGCAUUCCAGCCUAGGAUCCAUUGAAACUUGUAGGCAGGCACACACAAGUAUAAGGCAAUAAAGCUGUUUAGUUUAAGUUUUUCCUUCUUUACAUCAAUUUAAUGGAGAAAAGAGUUGGCUUACCUUUUCUCCUAGUUCAAAACAACAGAAUGAGCUUGCUGGCAUGUGUACAUCUAGAGAAUGCAGCAAGUCGUGUUCAGUGGGGUUGAUGCAGGCCUGUAAAAGGAAAGUCUCGACAGCUUCUGUUAUUGCAGCUGCUAUUUCCAGAAACUUCUGUGAAGAAGUAACUGCCAAGUUUUGGCAUUUUAUUGCAUAGGAGAGUUAGGCAUUAUACAAGAUAGGACAAGUGGGAAGAAGACAGAAUACAAACCUAAGAGUACUUCCUCAGUGCUACCUAUGUAUUUUUAACCUCCUCUAAAAACUGAAGUGAUUGUGUAUUAGUGUUGGUGAUGAACUUCUAAUACUUGCAGAAAUUUUCCUUAUAGGCACUCUGACUUCUUUAACUUCAUGGGAUGCUCAGUUGUACCUUGAAUUUGUUGUGCUGUAGCAAACAUACAAGGGGGCAGCAGACCUGAGUGAUCCAGCAGUACUCUUGUUGUCUGCAGUUAUGUUUUAGAAAGCACCGAUACAGGAUGAGUAGUAGCUGUGCUUAAUGAUGAGUGUAACAGGCAUUAAAUGUAAUUAAUACCAAUUAAACAAUUCUAGGAGAAGAUAGUUUUAAUAUGUUUUGCAGGCAUAGGGUGACAAUCCCAAAGAACUGCUUAGAAAGACUUAUGCCAGUGUGCAGGAAGGUGAUCAUAAAUAGCUGUUUAUAUCUUGGCACUAUUAGAACUUGAGCAUCUUGGAGUUUCUGUGACUGUAUUGUAAGGGAGGGUUCCCAUUGUAUUAGAUAUUUUUGUUCUCUUUGCUGGUUCUUCUUUCCUUGUGACUAAUGUGGUGCUCUGGGAUUUACCUCAGUGAACUUGGGGACUGCUUUCUCAAAAAGCACUUGUAAAAUUACACCAAGAUGGGAGCAAAUUCAUCUGUAAAAUCACAAAAAUCCAUUUUUGUAUUUGAAGCCCUGAUGAUAGCAGUAUGAAUUAGCAGUGAGAACAUUAGUAGCAUUCUGAUGCCUCAGUUAGAUCAGUUACAGCUGAACUGUGCAGAGCUGCAGCUGCUGCUGUUCUGUGGAUGACCAUAACCAAAUGAAGAAAAAGGAAACAAGUAGAGUGAAGGACAAGUAGAUAUCUUUCCUCCAGCCGGUAGACAGGGAGAUGUCCUCCCCGGGGUUCUAGAGUGCAGUGAAGCUGAGUUGGGCUUCUUGUUCUCUCCCUGAGAGCACUGUUGUGUGAAAACGUCAGAGCAAUGCACAGGUGAUACCAGUGGAGACUCAGACUGCAGUAACAUGCAAAAAUCAAAACUUCAAAAGAAGGAGGAAAUCGAACUGAUGUGUUUCUUGGCGAGGCAUCACAGACCUCCAGGAAAAUCUGUGCCCUUCCAAGACACCAUCUAACCACAAAGGUACUGAUCAGGUACUGACCACUAUGCCCCACAGCUUGUGCUACCUUGAGACUUAGAAGCGCAAAGGAAAGCAGCGCAUCUUUCACCUUGUGCAUGGCCUUAAGACUAACCCUGGUACUGCAUUCUUAUGUAACUUUAGACAGUAUCCUUUAUACACAAAUGUAGUUGUAAAGUCUUGAUCCUCCAUGCACAGACACACACCUUAGUUUUGGCAUUUCUUAAUUCUGAGUUCCUGAUGUACAAAAGAUCUGGCAUUAUAUACAGACUUUUUAUUUUUCUGUUUGUUUGUUUUUUGUUUGUUGUUGUUUUAAAUAUAAAUUACCUUGGUGUCCUGCAGGUUACUUUAAGCAGAAAAAUCCUCUGUUCCCAUAAGGGGAAGAAGGAACAAGACUCUUAGUAUUUGUGGUGACAGAACAAGGGGGAAUGGCUUCAACCUUAAAGAGGGUAGAUUUAGGUUGGACUUGAGGAAAAACAAACCCUUUCACAGUGAGGGUGUCAAGGCACUGAAACAGGCUGCCUAGAGAUGCUGAUUCCCAUCCCUGGAGAUGAAACUGCAUCAGACCCUAGGCAACCUGAUCUAGCUGUGCAAGUCCCAGGGGAGCUGGACUAGAUGACCUUUAAAGGUCCCUUCCAACUCUAAGGGUUCUACGAUUCUAUAAAACCUAUCAGAG
ensembl:lncRNA